GAGUAACACGUGAGCAACCUACCCUCAACUUCGGGAUAAGCCUCGGAAACGGGGUUCUAAUACCGGAUAUCACUUCCUGCUUCAUGGUGGGGGGUUGAAAGUUCUGGCGGUUGGGGAUGGGCUCGCGGCCUAUCAGCUUGUUGGUGGGGUAAUGGCCUACCAAGGCGUCGACGGGUAGCCGGCCUGAGAGGGCGACCGGCCACACUGGGACUGAGACACGGCCCAGACUCCUACGGGAGGCAGCAGUGGGGAAUAUUGCGCAAUGGACGAAAGUCUGACGCAGCAACGCCGCGUGAGGGAUGACGGCCUUCGGGUUGUAAACCUCUUUCAGCAGGGACGAAGCGAGAGUGACGGUACCUGCAGAAGAAGGACCGGCCAACUACGUGCCAGCAGCCGCGGUAAUACGUAGGGUCCGAGCGUUGUCCGGAAUUAUUGGGCGUAAAGGGCUCGUAGGCGGUUCGUCACGUCGGGAGUGAAAACUCGGAGCUUAACUCCGAGCCUGCUUCCGAUACGGGCAGACUAGAGGUAGGCAGGGGAGAGCGGAACUCCUGGUGUAGCGGUGGAAUGCGCAGAUAUCAGGAAGAACACCGGUGGCGAAGGCGGCUCUCUGGGCCUUACCUGACGCUGAGGAGCGAAAGCGUGGGUAGCGAACAGGAUUAGAUACCCUGGUAGUCCACGCCGUAAACGUUGGGCGCUAGGUGUGGGGGACAUUCCACGUCCUCCGUGCCGCAGCUAACGCAUUAAGCGCCCCGCCUGGGGAGUACGGCCGCAAGGCUAAAACUCAAAGGAAUUGACGGGGGCCCGCACAAGCGGCGGAGCAUGCGGAUUAAUUCGAUGCAACGCGAAGAA
rnacentral:rRNA from 1 species